UACGGAGGGUGCGAGCGUUGUCCGGAAUCAUUGGGCGUAAAGAGCGUGUAGGCGGCCAGAUAGGUCUGCUGUGAAAACUCGAGGCUCAACCUCGAGAUGUCGGCGGAAACCAUUUGGCUAGAGUCCGGAAGAGGAAAGUGGAAUUCCUGGUGUAGCGGUGAAAUGCGCAGAUAUCAGGAAGAACACCAGUGGCGAAGGCGACUCACUGGACAGGUAUUGACGCUGAGGUGCGAAAGCGUGGGGAGCAAACAGG
rnacentral:rRNA from 1 species